CCCUAAAUGUUUGAGAGCUCAGUGUUUGAGCAUUUCCCCAUUUCAUUUGCAGGGGCGGUCUUGGGAGCAGCUGAAGAGAGAGGAGCCUUCUAGGUAUCCCAGAAGGUGAGAGGCACAGUGUCCGACUCUGGUCAGGGCCUCGGUGAUGUUGACUCCGAGUACUCUCAUGACGACAGGAACCUCUGAGCCAGCCCAGGUGCCCCUCCUCUGCAUCCAAGAUGGAUUCGCAUCCCCGGCUCUUGGAAAGAUAAGUGCAGGGCCAAGACCCAGAGAGGGGCUGGGAGUUGGUGCACGCAUGUGCCUGGCCCAGAGGGAUUUUUGAAAUUAGUCCGGUGCAGUGGGUAUCCUGUAACAGGUUAUUUGGACGCAUCGAAGGAAGGGCUUACUUUGUAUUAUUGGAUUCAUGUGUGCAGGGCAGAGCAGUUCCGGUCUGUGUCACGUCCUCUGUCUCGUCCCUGUUUUGUGUCCUUCUUCUCUCAAUUGUGUCACGUGGUGUGUGUCGUCACUGGUGCGGGGUGUCUCACUUGGGGUCAGCCUGGAACUGCUCUGCCCUGCUCCGUGGGUCAGUGGGUAGACAGAAUAUCGCUCAGGGUCUCCCAUCCACAUAUCAGUUACCUCAGGCAGUCGAGCCGAUGUCCAUACGGUCCUGCCGGAUGGAGCGGGUGCACAUAACUCGUGUGCAAUCGUGUGCAAGUGAGCUCAUCCAGCAGCUGGGCUUCAAUGGGAUAAGAGCUCUCCCUUUCUUUCAUUGAAUGGGCCUUCUCAAGCUAUUCCUGCUUUAUUGAAGCAUCAACUUUGGCAUCCAAAGCAGCAGAGCUGUAUAUGGCAAUGAAGAGGAUUACACUCAAAUGCAGGGGUUUUAAAUUUAAGAAUUUUGUGUGCUGUGUUGGUAAGGUGCUUUU